GAACUCUCUCUCUCUCACACACACACACCCUAUGUUAAAAGAAUGUGAAGGCUGAGACAAAGCACAAUGAAAGAAAAUGCACUUAGGAGUGAAACCUGCCUUAUGCCCUCUAAUUCUCCAAUAGGGCACAUCAAGAAGGAGUUAAGGAGAUGUCCUGUUAUGCUGAAUGGGAAGGCAAUAUGUUGACUGGACUGACUGGAUCUCAGUCAAUAUGCUAUCCUCCUCUCCAAAUGUUAGGAUGGCAAGGAAUGAAACACAGGAAAGGUGCUGAAGAUAACUCAGACCUGCUGAAGGAAUCAUGGUUGAUCUCAGGAAACUGCAGGUCAGAGCCCGCUCUGAGAGUGGGAGAGUUGUGUGAUUCCACCCCAAGAAAGGUGACAAUCUGAGACAUGCAGGGCCGGCUCCAGCUUUUUUGCCACCUCAAGCAUAGAAGAAAAAAAGAAAAAGAAAAACCCGAUUGAGCUGUCGCCGAAGAGGAAGGGAGGGAGUGAAGGACCUGCUGCCGAAUUGCCACUGAAGACUGAAGUGGAGCAAUAGAGUUGCUGCCGAAGUGCAGCCGAAGAGGAAGUGACGGACUGAAGGACCCGCCGCUGAAUUGCUGCCAUAGAACCGAAUGUGCCGCCCCAAUAAUGUACAGAGUGCUGCCCCUUUCUAUUGGCCGCCCCAGGCACCUGUGUCCUUCGCUGGUGCCUGGAGCCCGCCCUGGAGACAUGAGAAGGAGUGUGGUCAGAGGUGGAGUUAAUCUGGGAAAGGUGACACUGAUAUUUUGACCUUUGUUUUUCUCCCAAAUCAGAACAAAAAAUCAAAGCAUCAGUAUCUGUCACAUGACAAAAUUCCAAAGCAUGGUUUCGCAGGGAAAGUCCGUAAAUGCCUUACAAUGCAUCUUACUCCUGCUUGCAGCUUCUUGGGAGACAUUAUCAGAGACCUGUCAAUCAGGCAAGCUGGGUUGGCCAUGCCGGUGAACAAGUCUAUUUGAAAUGCCUCCAGCAGCUGCAGGAAGGUUCUACCAGAUCUCCUGCCUCAAGCAGCAAGAAAACAGAACAACCAAAAAGGAUACUAAGACUUACCAAGAUAUUAUUUAGCCUCAGGGGGGCCCUGCAGUAGGAUUGCUGGAAACCGUCUUCUGACACACAGAUUUCUGGCUAAAGUAGCUUCCCAUGUGUGGGCAGGCCUCUCUGAUGAAUAGAGAAGUUGGCAGAAGUUCACCUCAGAGGAAAUGCCUGGGCUAAACGGACCCUGCUUAUGCCGUGGUGAGUCAUGCCACAAGUGCCAUGAUAACUGAACCCUGCUCAUGUAAGCUGCUCCUUGGAUUGUGAAACCGAAUGAUACUAGCCAAUUUCUCCGGUCCCAGACACUACUGUAGGAACCUCUGUCUUGCAGUGUCCAGUUAUGCUGGCUGGAUGCUGCAAGCUUAUAUAAGUUUGUCAAUUUAACAGAGAAAUGGAUAUGUA